GGUCAGAUUGAACGCNGGCGGCAGCCUUAACACAUGCAAGUCGAGCGGCAGCACGGAAGCUUGUUUCCUUGGUGGCGAAGCGGCGGACGGUGAGUAAUGCAUAGGAAUCUGCCCCGGUAGUGGGGGAUAACCUGGGGAAACCCCAGGCUAAUACCGCAUACGUCCUACGGGAGAAAGCAGGGGCUCUUCGGACCUUGCGCUAUCGGAUGAGCCUAUGUCGGAUUAGCUGGUUGGUGAGGUAAUGGCUCACCAAGGCGACGAUCCGUAGCUGGUCUGAGAGGAUGAUCAGCCACAUCGGGACUGAGACACGGCCCGAACUCCUACGGGAGGCAGCAGUGGGGAAUAUUGGACAAUGGGCGCAAGCCUGAUCCAGCCAUGCCGCGUGUGUGAAGAAGGCCUUCGGGUUGUAAAGCACUUUCAGUGGGGAAGAAAGCCUGGCGGUUAAUACCCGCCAGAAGACAUCACCCACA
rnacentral:rRNA from 1 species